GAGCACACGCAUUUCUUCCUCCCUGAAAUUACGUUCUUUAUUAUUCAGCUUCAUUGACUUGAAUAUUGCUUAGAGCAAAAGCAGG
rnacentral:sRNA from 1 species